CACAGGACAUUUCAAUGCUUUAUUUCUCCGUUAUGGUGGAAGUCUGCAGUCAACGGUUGCUAGGGGUUGUCAUGACGUGACAGCUUUCAUCUGAGAAAUUGUUGAUUGUGAUGAGAGUUCCUAUUACGCUAGAGGACAACCACAGCACGAAUAUCGGUAUUUGGCACCAUGGACUCUGUAGCGUGCGUUAGCGACAAGCUAGCGCGUUACGCUCAAGUUGCUGCGAGUCGAGAGACAAGCCAAUUCCGAGACAAGACGGAUGCCUGCUCACGCGACACCAUGAAUAAUCCACCAUUGGUGUAAAGAAAGAUGGCACAGUCCUUGACUUCUUCAGUUCACGCGCAGCUAAGGCACCUUGCAGCCUUGACAGUACUUCAGCCUGCUUGAGUAGUGCUACAAUUUGUGGUUGGUGGAUUUGUUGAGAUGUUUGGGCACGUGAGGCAAUGACUGCGCACAGUGAUCUGAUCUGCUCUGGAUAAUCUAAGUGAGGAAGCACAUGUGAAUUCUAUUACUGUGGAAAACUUUGGAACCUGCCUGUGAAGCAAGAGAAGUAGCUGAACACCUUCCACCAUCGAUGUUCUGGGCAUUUCCAACAGGCAGCAGUGGUUUGAGCACAUCACUAUGGGGAAGUGAGAAGAAGGUAGGGAGAUGAGGAAAAUGCAGCUGAGAAGGUGAAGAAAAGAAGGCUACAGUGGUUGGGGACCUAGCACGAAUGCCAAACUAUAGGGUACCGAAAUUGAUCCUAUUUUGCUGGCUGCCUCAACCCCCAGAUGGGGUCCAAGGAAGAGAUGGAGAGAUGUGAUAAGAAGAGAUCUCAAGGACAUUCUCCAGUGGCAGCCAAGAAUGUGGUGUAUGAGGUGUGCUCCAGGAAUUUCAUGAUAAGGCGAGGCACAAGUGUGUGGAUGAGAGACAGAAGCCUGUAGUGACCAGCAAGGUGCAGUCUACUAGUAGAGUCAGCGGUGUCUCUUAUGGUUCCGGAGUAGAGGAAGGCUACAGUUCACAGAUGCGUACCAGAAACCUCACACUGUUUCUGAUC